CAAAUCAUUCAUGUGACAGGGUCAAGGUCUGACUUAGAUUUGACUUCCAAAAUGGCCAAAUUUUCAACAUUACAUAAUUCAGUGAAAUUUCAUUGAUUCUAAAGUAAAAUUUUCUCAGGAAUUCAGAUCUG